UAUUUAAUUAGUCAAAAUUUAGCAGAAAUUUGUUUCCAUGGAAUACAGAGAAGUUAGAUGCAUUUAUAUUUCUUCUGUCAUUGUUGUUUUAUAAUCAUUUUAAUAUAUUGUGAAUUCUGGAUUCGAUUAAUUCAUGUUUUUCUUUCAGGGAGGGAAACUGGGAAAUCGUCUUCAAGCUUCAGCUUGCUGCAAACACUUGACUGCCUAUGCUUUCGAUAAUUGGAAGGGUACUGUGGCCACUUUGCCUUCGAAGCGAAGCUCGUAUACCACUUCUUUCACUUCUCUCUUUCGAUCGCUGCAAAAUCUAGGGUUUCUUGAAGUUCAUUGCUUCCCCUUGACUUGACUUCGAUUUCAUGGGCAGAUUUGCGGAAAGCAUUUGGGUUCUCAGAUUACGAUGAUGAUUAUUGAACAUUGCUUUUUCACCGAAGAAGGUUGGACCAUAAACCAGACAGGACUCAAAGAAAAUAAUGUUGUGAAGAUGUAAUGGCUGCUGGAAAUAUUGAUUCUGCAAAGGUAAUGGCCAUUGUAGCAGAUUUUAUCGUGUGGCUUCCUGCUCUUGCAGUUUCUCUCCGACCACCACUUGCUGUUAGUGCUGGAUAUUGCUAAAUUCUUGUAUGGCUGCCCUGAAAACGCUUCAGGUUAAUACACGCCAUGUACCUCAUUCUUCCUUGCUUUUGUUUAUUGUAUUAUUUUUGGCUUUGAUAAAUGUUUUCAAAAAAAUGUUUAAAUAUCAUCAUUCAUUGGAUCAUAUCAUAUUAUGUUUAGUUACCCGUAAGAUGGUUGUGGUCCUAAAGUGUGUAAAAUAAUACUUCCGACCUAGUCAUAUGAUAUGAGCAAUGGUUUGUCAAAAUCAAGAAGAAUUUGUGUUUUUUUUUUUUGAAAGGCAAGAAGAAUUUGUGCUUGUAUCAUGUAAUAUAAUCUUGAAGGCGUUAGGCGUAAUUCACCCAAAAGUCCUCAAUUUUAUGGUUUAGUACUCUUUUCGAGGCAACAGAAUGAUGCAGCCACAUUUAGCUUGCUUAAAAACUACAUGCGCAUUAUUUAGAAGGUCUUUCUUCAUCUUUUCAUGGAUGUUUCUCAAGUAAGUCUCUCCUGCCAGCAUGGAAGCCAGUGGAAAUCCCAUUCUGUUUCAAUAGUGGAAUUGCCAUGCUUGGUCUUCUAUAGGCAAGCCAUUUACUUGAUCAGACAUGAUUGUGUGUGACAUAAAGUAGGGGGAUUAAGAGGUUUCUGAAGAAGAUAAUGCAUGUUAAUUAUAUAUAGAGGAGUUUAAGGUUUGUUUGGGGGUUGGGAUAGGGGACGAGAACCACACACUUUUUGUGUUUUAUAACUAGAUAGUUCUCCCAAAUGCUUUUAUGUUUUCCGUUUUUUACUUAAUCAAAUGUUGUUUUAAUUUUUCGAAUGCAGAUUCUUUUGUUUGUCUGUUUGUUCAUAUCCAAAUUCAAGCUGUACAGGUUUUUGAAAUUUGCAAUCUGCUUUUCUUUUCACUCUCCUUUUUCAUUAGUUUUCCUGUGUCCUCUUUUGAAUAUAUGUUACUAUCCUGCAUUAGAAGUUGAUCUGAUGCACUUUCUCCCCUAUAAAAAAUUGGAACUAGUUUCAAGAUGUUGCUUUGAGGUCUGCAUGUGAGAGAUAUAAACAUCGAAGGUGAUAUUGACACUCCUUUGUUCAAGAAGGUGCUUUUGCUUCCAGGGACAUUAAUCACGUACAAGCUCUCUCCCUCUGACUCUAGUUGAAAUGGGGAAUAUUGUGUGUCUUAUCUUAUCUCUCUAAUUUGCAUAGACUGAAUUAGAUUAAAUGUUGUAGCUGACCUAGGAAGUGUUGUACAUGUUUUGUUGUUCUUAGUUAUAAAUUAGAUUUGGAACAACUACUAUUGUUACAUUGUUUUUAAGAUAAUACAUGAAUUUUAUUUUAUUA